CAUUCCUAAAACCACAACCCUAACAAAAUUCCUAAAAUAUUUCAAUUAAUAAAAUCACAAAAUCCUCAAUCCAUUCCAAAUGUUUCGUUCUUCAGUUGUUCUUCAAUCCAUUCGAUGACGAUGUGCAUUUCUUUAUUGAGCUUCGAUCUCAAUCUCUGCUCGCUAAUGAGCUUCGAUUUUUUAUUAUCAUGAAUAUGCUUCGAUCUUUUCUGCUGGUCAAUGUGCUUCGAUCCUCUGCUCCUCUCCUCGUUGAGCUUCAAUCCUCUACUUCUCUUUUCGUCAAGCUUCGAUCCUCUCUGCUCGCGUUCAUCACCGCCACUGUUCGAUUAUCACUGCUCGUGUUUUUGGUGAGAUUCUCGUUUUUGACAUUCUUCUGCAGGCUGCUUUUCUGUUAGCUUUGGUUGGAUCAGAAGUUGCAUAUUCUGCUGCACAAGCUACAGUGACAACUCUUUCGGAGGCUUACAAAACAACUAAAAAUCAUCGAUCAUUCCCAAGAAACACAUCACUACAAGUCAAAGUUCAUUCUUCCAAAAGAGGGGAAAGGGUGGGUGAUGACUGGUGUUCGAGAAGCUUGGAAAGGUUACAAAACAAGAAUCAAGGGAAAGCAUUUUGAGAGAUAUAACAACAUUGAAGAUAUGCUGAAAAAUCGCCCUUUAGAUAUUCCAGAAGUUCAAUUUCAAAAGUUAAUUGCAUAUUGGAGUAUUCCUUCUGUUA